rnacentral:rRNA from 1 species
CGCACGGGUGAGUAACACGUAUCCAACCUGCCGUCUACUCUUGGCCAGCCUUCUGAAAGGAAGAUUAAUCCAGGAUGGCAUCAUGAGUUCACAUGUCCGCAUGAUUAAAGGUAUUUUCCGGUAGACGAUGGGGAUGCGUUCCAUUAGAUAGUAGGCGGGGUAACGGCCCACCUAGUCAACGAUGGAUAGGGGUUCUGAGAGGAAGGUCCCCCAUAUUGGAACUGAGACACGGUCCAA